rnacentral:rRNA from 2 species
CCUACGGGCGGCUGCAGUGGGGAAUAUUGCACAAUGGAGGGAACUCUGAUGCAGCAACGCCGCGUGAAGGAUGAAGGUUUUCGGAUCGUAAACUUCUAUCAGUAGGGAUGAAAACAAUGACAGUACCUAACUAAGAAGCCCCGGCUAACUACGUGCCAGCAGCCGCGGUAAUACGUAGGGGGCAAGCGUUAUCCGGAUUUACUGGGUAUAAAGGGUGCGUAGGUGGCAUGGUAAGUUAGAUGUGAAAACCCAAGGCUUAACUUUGGGAUUGCAUCUAAAACUGCUAAGCUAGAGUGCAGGAGAGGAAAGCAGAAUUCCUAGUGUAGCGGUGAAAUGCGUAGAUAUUAGGAGGAAUACCAGUAGCGAAGGCGGCUUUCUGGACUGUAACUGACACUGAGGCACGAAAGCGUGGGUAGCAAACAGGAUUAGAUACCCGGGUAGUC